ensembl:misc_RNA Metazoa_SRP Metazoan signal recognition particle RNA
GCCGGGCAUGGUGGUGCAUGCCUGUAAUCCCAGCUACUUGGGAGGCUGAGGCAGGAGAAUCGCUUGAACCUGGGAGGCAGAGGUUGCAGUGAGCUGAGAUCAUGCCAUUGCACUCUGGCCUGGGGGACAGAGCGAGACCCUGUCUCAA